CCCUGGCCUGUCUUUAUCUCCCCAUCUCUGCAGCCGGUCAGUGACCAUUCUUGACUGCAGCUCUCGCAGCAACACACCUCCACAGAACCCCAGCUCUCCUCUGUCAGACAUGCCAGACUGCAACGAGGCCGCGCCAGCAUCAUGCCAGGUUAUCAAGGAAGACGUGGACAAAUGUGUCAGAGAGAGGAGAGUGGAAGACUGUAAAGAUCUGAUUGAUGCCUUCCAGGCCUGUAUAAAGACCCUGUCGGAGGGGUCAUAAUGCAUGAGGAAAUGCAUAUUGAUGAAAACUUCAGAGUCGUUCACUCUCUCAGCACUUCCUUGUUUAUUGUAUUGGACCCAACCAUGUGAAAAACUGAGGAGGGGGUCGAUGAUGAUACUGGAAUUCAAAUAUAUGCUCCUGUGAAUGUGAAUGUUCCUUUCAUAAAUGUUAUAAUUCCGUUAUGGACAAUGCCCUGACAUUGACAAUUGAUGCACUGUAAUUCUUAAUGCACAAACACACACAAUAUAAUAAAUGUUAUAACACACAG